GACCUCGGAUCAGGUAGGGAUACCCGCUGAACUUAAGCAUAUCAAUAAGCGGAGGAAAAGAAACCAACAGGGAUUGCCUUAGUAACGGCGAGUGAAGCGGCAACAGCUCAAAUUUGAAAUCUGGCCUCAUGGUCCGAAUUGUAAUUUGUAGAGGAUGCUUCGAGCAUGGUCUGGUCUAAGUUCCUUGGAACAGGACGUCAUAGAGGGUGAGAAUCCCGCAUGCGACUAGGUGCCUAAGCUCAUGUGAAGCUCCUUCGACGAGUCGAGUUGUUUGGGAAUGCAGCUCAAAAUGGGUGGUAAAUUUCAUCUAAAGCUAAAUACUGGCCAGAGACCGAUAGCGCACAAGUAGAGUGAUCGAAAGAUGAAAAGCACUUUGGAAAGAGAGUUAAACAGUACGUGAAAUUGUUGAAAGGGAAGCGCUUGCAACCAG
rnacentral:rRNA from 1 species